UGUUCCCACAAGAUUACCUACAAUAUGGGAUUAUUCAAGGAGCGGACAAACAAAUUCCUUAAAUGCCGGCAACGCAUCGGCGGUACCUCUGGUGCUGCAAACCUGCUGGGCGGCGGUAAUCACUUAACAUCAGGUGACCCGCCCGUUCGCUAUUUUGCUCGCUAUCUCUAUU